GCAAUCUAUUCACUUACUAUUUUACCCUACCAUUAAGGAAUUAGUAAACUAAACGAUUGCUAAAAUAAUUAUGACUAUUUUUUUUUUUCAAUUAUUAAAAUUAUUUUUUUUCAUUAAUUUUAAUAAAAAUAAAAAUUGUUUACAAAUAUUAAAUAUUA